rnacentral:lncRNA from 1 species
UUUCACCUGCAGUGGAAGAUCCAUGAGGUGCCCAGAAGAUCAUGCAGUCAUCAGUCCCACGGAGCAGCCCGUGAGGCUGAGGCUCCUCCCACUGGACUGCCCCCCAACUGGCACCACUGCUGCCCCUGACCCUACUCUCAGCCUCAUGUGACUCUCGGGCAGAGGCAGUGGUAGGGCAGCUUCAGAGUCUGAGCCAG